CUAGUUAUUUGAAAUGCUAGAGAGACUCAUCCCUGCCCAGCAGGCCCGGAAGAAAAGGAGAGAGCUACCUGACCCUCUCCCGCUGCCACAGAUUGAGCCACCCCUGCAGCGAGAGGAUCCUGAACCACCCCAGUAUCAUGUUCCUCCACAGUACCACCCAGCACCACCACAGUAUGAACUGGUGCCACAGCCACAGUACCACCCAGCAGCACCAUAGUAUGGCCCAAUGCCCCAACCGCAUCACCCGGCACCACCACAGUACAAUCCGGUGCCUCCACCGUAUCAUCCAGUACCACCACAGGGCCAUCAAGUCCAUCCCUAGUACAAUCCA
rnacentral:lncRNA from 1 species